rnacentral:rRNA from 1 species
AACGGAGGAUGCAAGCGUUAUCCGGAAUUAUUGGGCGUAAAGCGUCCGUAGGUGGCAGGCCAAGUCUACUUUUAAAGCGUGCAGCUCAACUGCAUAAGGGGAGUGGAAACUGGUCAGCUAGAGUUCGGUAGGGGCAGAGGGAAUUCCCGGUGUAGCGGUGAAAUGCGUAGAUAUCGGGAAGAACACCAGUGGCGAAAGCGCUCUGCUGGGCCUGAACUGACACUGAUGGACGAAAGCUAGGGGAGCGAAAGGG